rnacentral:rRNA from 1 species
UACGGAGGGGGCUAGCGUUGUUCGGAAUUACUGGGCGUAAAGCGCACGUAGGCGGCUUUGUAAGUUAGAGGUGAAAGCCCGGAGCUCAACUCCGGAAUUGCCUUUAAGACUGCAUCGCUUGAAUCAUGGAGAGGUGAGUGGAAUUCCGAAGUGUAGAGGUGAAAUUCGUAGAUAUUCGGAAGAACACCAGUGGCGAAGGCGACUCACUGGACAUGUAUUGACGCUGAGGUGCGAAAGCGUGGGGAGCAAACAGG